GCCCCAAUAGCUCAGUUGGUAGAGCAACAACCUUUUAAGUUGAAGGUCACAGGUUCGAGUCCUGUUUGGGGCACCA
rnacentral:tRNA from 1 species